CCUACGGGAGGCAGCAGUGGGGAAUAUUGGGCAAUGGGCGCAAGCCUGACCCAGCAACGCAGCGUGAAGGAAGAAGGCCUUCGGGUUGUAAACUUCUUUUCUCAGGGACGAAGAAAGUGACGGUACCUGAGGAAUAAGCCACGGCUAACUACGAGCCAGCAGCCGCGGUAAUACGUAGGUGGCAAGCGUUAUCCGGAUUUACUGGGUGUAAAGGGCGUGUAGGCGGGGAUGCAAGGCAGAUGUGAAAACCACGGGCGCAACCUGUGGCCUGCCUUUGAAACUGUUUUUCUUGAGUACUGGGGAGGCAGGCGGAAUUCGUAGUGUAGCGGUGAAAUGCUGAGAUAUUAGGAGGAACACCAGUGGCGAAGGCAGUCUGCUGGACAGCUACUGACGCUGAGGCGCGAAAGCGUGGGGAGCAAACAGGAUUAGAUACCCCGGUAGUC
rnacentral:rRNA from 1 species